rnacentral:lncRNA from 1 species
UUAUAGAUAGCACAACAAAGCAACACUAUUCAAAUAUACAUUAAGCAUCAAUAUGCACUUAGUCAACAUCAUAUCAAUUUCUAUAGUAAGUCUUGUGGAUAGCACAACAAGCUCACUAAGAUCUUGACAUACUUUGUUAACCAAGUAUGAAGGAAGGUCCUUGUAGUGUCUACAUCACUAUUCAAUCUAAGUCUGAAACUCAAUAAGACCAAAUUAGCCAGAUC